rnacentral:rRNA from 1 species
AUUGAACGCUGGCGGCAUGCUUUACACAUGCAAGUCGAACGGUAACAGGCCUUCGGGUGCUGACGAGUGGCGAACGGGUGAGUAAUGCAUCGGAACGUGCCCAGAGGUGGGGGAUAACGCAGCGAAAGCUGUGCUAAUACCGCAUGUGAUCUGAGGAUGAAAGCGGGGGACCAGGCAGCAAUGUUUGGCCUCGCGCCUUUGGAGCGGCCGAUGUCAGAUUAGGUAGUUGGUGGGGUAAAGGCCUACCAAGCCGACGAUCUGUAGCUGGUCUGAGAGGACGACCAGCCACACUGGGACUGAGACACGGCCCAGACUCCUACGGGAGGCAGCAGUGGGGAAUUUUGGACAAUGGGCGCAAGCCUGAGCCAGCAAUGCCGCGUGCGGGAAGAAGGCCUUCGGGUUGUAAACCGCUUUUGUACGGAACGAAAAGGCUCUGGCUAAUACCUGGGGCUGAUGACGGUACCGUAAGAAUAAGCAACGGCUAACUAAGUG